CGGGAUAGCCAGCCAGCCAGUUGGCUAGCUAAGUAAACCAGCUAAGUUAGCUGCUCUGCUAACCAACUGUCACGACUCGUAAUUUUUCCCUUAAGUUGGCGGGAUACACUGUGUUAGAAGUUGUUUCGACAAGCGUGGAGGGAAAGCUGACUUUACGGUUUGGCUCUUUCGACUCCUUCCUCCCGUGUGAUAUGACAUCACGACUCGGUUACAAGAGAAGCUCGAGCUCAACAGCAGACGGUUGACAUCUGGUCAGGUGCCGUUCAAAAGGAUGGCUGCUCAGGUGGAGGUUCACACUACGGAGGUAGGAAGGACAGUAGCAGGAGGACGACAUCACCUGACUCCCCUCACAGACUCCAGCAAUAAGAGCCUCAUUGACAUCCCGUCUGUCAAUCAGCCGCAUGUCAUCGCAGCUGAACCAAACAAACCUGCCCCAAGCGCCAAGCCACGGCUUACUCCCAAACCUUUUUCUGUGGAGAAAAAUCCUACAAUUAAGCCCAUACUCGCCCCAAAGCCUCAAACCAAACCCCGACCUGAGUCCACUCGCCUUGUUGGAUACAAACCAGAGUUUCCAAGCAAUCCAAAACCACAGCAGCCGGUUUCCAGCAGCAAACCCAGACCACUUUUAACCAACCCCAACCGUCCUGCCUCUACCUCCUUUCGAUCACCCACUAAGUUGAACACUGGACAGACAACAAAGCCAGUAGCCCAGCCAUUUAAACCAGCUCCUCCUCAUGACACUGGAGACCCUAACAGACCCACCCCUCCUCCUGUGCCAGCACAGAGGCAGAAACCCUCAGCAUCAAGCUUGGCCUACUCAAAGAGCUUUAAAAAACUUCCAGCAGCAGAGUGGUCUGGAACCACUAAAAAAGAAGAUGAAAAAGGCCACGAUGCACAAGGUAAAGUUGGUACCUCCCUUACUAGAGCAAAGUCCAUGGGCUUUCUUCUUGAUGCAGGGCAAGAAAAUGAAGGAAAAGAAAAGGCUCAGCCUGAAACACCUGUGCCUCUGCGACCACAUCCUAGAGGCACCAAGCCCAGACCUGUAUCAGCCAUUUUCCCCGGCAGUCCAACAAAGAUGGAGAACCCGGUUCCUGCUCCUCGCUGGGCUGGGAGACGACCCCUUUCAGCUGAUCUCACUUCCAAAUUUGAGUCUAUUGGUCUUUCACUGCACCGCAAAGUUCCUGAAGCAAAUACAGUAGACAACACUCCAGAGGGAAAAGCACUACCACAAAGCAAAGAGGAAGAUAAAACCUUUAUGAGUACCACACCACAAAGUACUGAUGAUGUAUGUAAUCCCAUCCUCUCAGACCAAAGCAACAAAAACAAAGAAGAAAUGGCUGGGAAAGAGACCGAUGAAGACAAGCGCAGGGUUAGCGUCAAGUCGCGAAUAAGUCUUUUGCUCGAUUUGCCGUCUUCUCCUGGGGUAGCUGCCACCGGCCAUGGUUCAGAUCUUCACUCUCCAUUGCAGCCAACCCCUGAAGGUGAACCAGCAGUGGGUGUUAAACAGCUCAUCAAGCAGCUGACAGAGGACACAACACCGACUCAGAGCCCUGUCCUUAAACCAGCACUGAAGCCCCGUCCCUUGCCCCUUGACCUAACCAAAAGGUUUUCAGCUGAGAGGUCACCUGACCCUGUUUCCCUCACUGAGACAGAGGACCAUCAUUACAUCAGCAAAGAUCCUCAGAAGAGGGCUGAAGAGUCGGCUAUCACUCCCAGUGACCAGAAGACAUUUUUGGAUUUAAAAGAUUCCCAAGAGCAGCUCAAAAAGGUCUCCACGCCUGAAGGGCCUGAAGCAGGACAGACGUUUGGUGCUGUUUCCAAGGAAAUUGGUGCAGGCAGUGGAGUCCAAACGGUGCGAGCAUCCUUGUUUGAUAAUGUCGUGGAGAGGCACAGCGUGGUGUUGAUGGAUGAUGGCUCAUCUGUUGACACGGCCAAGGAUUUGCUCAGCAGCACGUCUCCAUUUGAUAGAACAGUUACUGAAAAUAACGGGGCUCCAGUCACAGCUAACUACAGCCAGCCUUUAUCGCCAUCAUGUCUUCAGCCCGUAUUACAUGCCUUUGACACAGUGCAGGCUGUCGAAGAGAGUCGGGCAGUGAGUGAGAGCGUCCCAUCAGCUCAGUGGGAGGAUAAGGCCAUGACCCUCCGUUCCAGACGCUCAGAAGGGAGCAGGCCUCUACCAGAAUGGACCAGUCCUGCACAAGAACAGCCACCUUUGGCACCUUUGAUGCCUCAAACACAGCCACGAUAUCUGAGGAUAGGAGCCUUACAGAAGUGGACAACUUCAGGUCUCGACCAAGACGUAGAUAUGGAAACGGGGAUGCUAAAGGAAUCACAAAGGGAGGGACAAGUGACUUUAGAUAAAGACAAGGAGAGACAAAGAGUGGCAGAACAAGAAGAAGUGGCGGCAGCACCUAAACGCUUGAAGAUGCUGCAGGCAGACGAAAUGGCAAAACCCAAGGCAACCUACUUUGCUUUAACCGGACAAAUACAGGAGCCAGUUUCUCUCGGGGGUGCAGGGACAAACACUGGGGACAUGACUAGCCCCUCUGAUGAUUUCUUAGGGAUUUCUCUCCUGAGUGGCCCUCAAGGGAAGAGUCUUCCAGUAAGGGGGAGCCAGUCUUUAAAUGAUGAUCCUUUUGGAAAAACAACUCCAUCGCAAGAGCAAGUUGAAGAUUUGAUGAUAAGAAGCCACAAGUCACCCAGGGAGAGCAGUUUAGCCUUAGAUGGACAGAGUAAAGAGGAAAGGCUAGAAGCUGAAAAGAAAAGGGAGCAAAGGAAGGAGAAAGAAAGGCACAGGACUAAGAUAAAAGAAAUUGAAAGGGAAAAACAGACACAGCUGGAAAUGGAGAAACUAGCACAUUUAGAAUUUACACGAAUGAAGGAGAGGGAGAUGCAAAGAGAAUUUGAAAGGCAAAGACAGAAGUCAUUUGAAAAGGAGAAACAAGAAUUUGAGGAGAAACAGCGUGCCCUGGAAAGGCAGAAACAGACUGAGCUUGAGAAAGUGCAAGAAUUGGAGGAGAAACAGAGACUUGAAAGAGAGAAGCAGAGGAAACUUGAGAAAGAAAAAAGGCGAGAACUAGAGAGACAAAGGGAGAGAGAGCAACACCAAAAACAAAAGGAGGAAGCGCGGCUAAAACAGUUAGAGAGACUGCAGCUCUUAGACCUUCAAAGACAGAAGCAGAAAGAAAAGGAAAUCCAGCAGCUAAAAGAAAAAAAGGAAAAAGAAGAGGCAGACAAGAUGAGACAGAUCGCAUUAGAGCAAGAAAUGUUAAGAGUAAAAGAGCUUGAAAAAGAGCGGGAAAGAGAAAAGGAGAUGGAGAAGGAGCGUCAGAAAGAGAUACAGAGGGAGCUGGAGAAACGGAGACAACAAGAUUUAGAAAGGGAGAGACAGAGGCAGCUAGACAUUGAGCAACAGGAACUGGAGAAGGAAAGGAAGAGGAAGGAGGAGGUAGAGAGACUUAAAGAGCUGGAGAGAUUACUGCUCUUGGAGUUUGAAGAGCAAAAACAGGCAGAGAGGGAGAGACAACAAAUUCAGGAGCUCGAAUAA
rnacentral:lncRNA from 1 species